UACGCUUCCUCGAGCAUCGGUUAAAGAUUUGGCCUAUUCUCAUGGGAGCUGGAUACGAGGUUUUCUUGAAAGGACCGUCGUUGUAUGCUUUUAAGGGGCUGGCCGGUCGAUUUGCGCCGAUCGGAGUACAUUUAGCAAUGCUGCUGAUAAUGGCUGGUGCAACUCUUAGUGCAACCGGGAGCUUCCGAGGGUCUGUCACCGUUCCGCAGGGACUGAAUUUCGUUAUGGGAGAUGUACUCGGUCCGAUGGGGUUUCUUUCCACCCCUACCAAUGCUUUCAAUACCGAAGUUCAUGUGAACAGAUUCUACAUGGACUACUACGAUAGCGGAGAGGUUUCACAGUUUCAUACCGACCUAUCACUGCUCGAUAUCAACGGGAAGGAAGUAAUGAGGAAAACACUUAGUGUAAAUGACCCCUUAAGGUACGGUGGAAUCACCAUAUACCAGACAGAUUGGAGUUUUUCGGCACUGCAGAUACUUAAGGACGAUGAAGGACCAUUCAAUUUGGCAAUGGCACCUCUAACGGUCAAUGGCGACAAGAAGCUUUUCGGGACCUUUCUACCCGUAGGGGACACCGAUUCUCCUAACGUCAAGGGAAUAUCGAUGCUCGCUCGUGAUCUGCAGUCUAUUGUCCUAUACGAUAAACAAGGGAAAUUUGCCGGAGUGCGACGACCUAACUCUAAGCUUCCUAUAGAGAUCGACGGAACAAAAAUCGUCAUCGUCGAUGCAAUUGGCAGUAGUGGUCUUAUUUUAUCCAUGUAUAUGUGUAUUACAUCUUCUGAAAUUUUCAUCUUCUACUGAAUCUUAUUUUAUUCAGACUGAUCCAGGGGUCCCUACAGUGUAUGCUGGUUUUGGUGCUCUAAUGCUCACAACUUGCAUCAGUUACUUAUCUCAUGCACAGAUAUGGGUAUUGCAAGAUGGGACAACAAUAAUAGUUGGGGGAAAGACGAAUCGAGCCAAGGCCGAAUUUCCAGACGAGAUGAACCGUUUGCUCGAUCAGAUUCCUGAGAUAGUCGAGUCUUCCAUUUCCAAGCAACCUGAUAGCAUCGGUGGCUAAUUUUUGAGGUAUUGGAUGGG